GUGCUUGCUACAGUGGCACAUAUACUAAAAUUGGAUCAAUACAGAGAAAAUUAGCAUGCCCCUGCGAAAGGAUGACACGCAAAUCCGUAAAGCGCUCCAUAUUGCU
ensembl:snRNA U6 U6 spliceosomal RNA